UCGUUUUCGCCCAUAUUUUUUCCGUUUUUAUGAUUUUCGUUUUCAUGUUUUUAUCAUUUAGUUAUGACUUAUUACUAUUUUGAUUGGUAUCUACUGCCUUUUUUAUGUUGUUCUGCAAAUUUAUGCCUCAAGGAUCAACUUGAUUUCUGUUAAUAUAAUUUAGGGACUUUUUUUAUGGUUUUUAAAAUAAUUCAGGGAUCGAUUUGAUAGUAACACAAAUAAUUCAGGGACUAAUCUGAUGGUAAAAUUAUAACAGAUAUGCAACAUUUCAUUCAUCUUCAACCUCUUUUCAUGGUAAAAUCAUUACAACUCUACACAACCUUAGAAAUAUACAUUAGCAUGUUGCAAAACUCAAACAAGCAGAUUAUGACUAUCAUAAACUUAAUCACCUAAGCUCACUUUCCAUCAACCUUGCCCUCCAAACCUCGUCAUUGCCACUUUCCUUAGCCUUAAGCAUGGACUGAACCUUCUCCAUCAUUCUUGUCUUUCUUCCAUGAGCAGCACAAAUUCCAUUGUUUUUAAAGUAACCUAGUUCUUCAGCUUCAUCAACCCACACAACAUUCAAGCACUCUCACAUCACCAUUAAACAUGGAGGAUGAAGAUGAAGCUUGACUUUGAUAGCUCUUUUUGCCCAUAUGACCACCUCCCAUCAUUUUAGAUUCAAUUUCAACAGUUUUGCUUGAAUGAAUUUUGCAGAUUUUGGUUUUCAGAUUCAAUUAAAAAAAAUUAGGGUUUGCAAUUUUUUGAUUUGGGGAAGAACGUGACCCUUAAUUAUUGGAAGAAAAUUUGGAGAUUUUGGAGUGUAGAUUACACAUUGUAAAAUUAGGGUUCCAAUUUUAUAUAUUUGGGGAAGAAAUAGUCGUUGGAGAAGGAAGAGAGCCGUUGGGGAAGAAGAGCAAUUUCCUGAAAUUCAAUCAACUUAGUCCUUGAAAAUUUAGGUCAUUAUCGGCCAAAUUAGUCCCUGCCUACGUGGCGUCUGACAUGUGAGAGGUUAACGGCCACGUCAGCCCCGUUAACGCUCC
rnacentral:lncRNA from 1 species